rnacentral:lncRNA from 1 species
AUUAAAUAUAAAGAAGUAUUUUAAGUUGCAGAUGUAGGCCAGCCCACUUGGAUACUUGCAAGUUAGGAUGUACAAGUUACUCAUUAGGCUACAAUUAGAUACAUCUUGUAGUAGAUCAACUCACAAACAAAAUGGCCAAAGAACGAGUUGUAGUUGCUUCAAUAAGUAUCGUAAUUUUUUUAAAAAAAGAAAUUUCCUUUCCUCUUUCAUUCGCUCCAUCUUUUUCUCAGCUAUUGUCGCCUAUCUCCUCUAUAUCGUCAUACAUAGCCUCUAGCCCCCUAUCCCACUACUCUCCUCCAACUUCUCCGCCCUUCUUAGGGUCUGCACACUCACUGCCCACUCCCUCCACAUAUAGAUAUCCAAGCUCAAGCCCUUGCCAUCAAUGGCUUUGAUGCAGACCUUUGCAUCCAUAAUAUCCUUAUCUUCAUGUAUAUCGAAUACUCUGACCUGGCAUUUGCUUGCAAGACAUUCAAUGAAAUAUCUAUCAAAAAUAUCAAUU